UGUUUAUUUCAAGCAAAGGAGAAUAAUAUGGCUCCAAUUUUCAUGUUUGCAUAUGUUUUGAUUUAUACAACUUUUUCUCCCUAUUUGUUAUUGUAACCGGUACAAGUAAGUCAUUUAUACAACUUUUUAAAAUUUUAUGAUUUAUCUCAUAGAAAAUAUUUUAUCACGUUUUAGCAACGUUCUAUUUUUGUUAUUUGACAAUGCAGGUGACAGUCCUAUCAAAACCGAUCCUGUCUGCAUAACUGACGAGGAUUGUCCGAUAAAAUUGUUUUAUCUUUCUAGGUGUAUUGAGAAUUUAUGUGAGCACCAUUAAUUAAGUUUGAAAAUAAUUUUUUUUUUGAUAAGCAAGAUUUGGAUUAUAAUGAGCACAAGGGGUAUUCAACCCUUACAAUCCAAAAACAAUCACCUUAAAUACAACGAAAACAAGCUAAGGGAUUGUUACACCAGUCAAGGAAAGCUACAUUAUCAAUGUUCGUUGACCGACCGAUGAACCAAAACCAAGCAAUAUAAAUAAUUUGAUCUACUAAAGUUUGAAAAUAAUAAUGUUACAUCGCGUCAUAUAAUGUUAUUUGUAUUUCAUAAUGUUUGUACUUCAAAAUUAACUUUGAAAUUUUCAUUUCUGUUCUGGACUGGGCCAAGAGCUGACCCAAUUACUCUCCUGCCCGGAAUUUGGGGCACAGCCCAAUAAGAGGAGGUCUCCCCGACACGUCAGCCCAUGACGUGUCUUCCUCGACUUAACGGGUUCAUAGCAUGAUAAAAACGUGCUAUCCUAUCCCAGCCACGACUUCAUCCAGGGUCCGUUAUCCACUAAUAGCGGAACAGCUUCCACCAAGAUAUGGGCGAAUAACCGUCUCCCCUACGAUAUAGGGAGUAUCUUGCCAAUUGAGUCUAUUGGGCCGGUUCAUUCUAGCCAAUUAGACCAACCUUUGGCCCAGCGCCGGGGGCAACUAUAUAAGCUCUCUUAUACAGGAGAGUCAGGUAUUCUAUUCUUCACUCUCUCUCUCUUCACUCUCUAUUACACAAGGUUUUAUAUUCUCUUCUCCACCUCUAACCCUAUCUGUCACCACUUUCUCUCUUCUUCUUGAUCUAUUGGAGAAGGGUGAUUUAUGGUCAAAUUAGGCCUAAAAUUAAAUCACCCCUCCAACUUGAUUUUCUUUCUACUUUAAUUAAAUAAGUGCGAUUUCCACAUAUAUUUUAUAUUUCUUUCGUUUGUUUUUGUGAUUUCAUCAUCCUUUGUUUUGAUUUUCCGUCUUAGUGCCUUGUAUUUUGUUUUCCCGUCUUAGUGCUGAUUAUUGUUGUCAUGUCUUAGUUCGGAGUAUUGUUGUCCCGUCUUGGUGCGGUGUACGUUCAUUUGUUUCAGGUUGAAGGAUUAAUGUUGAUCCAGUGCAUAUAUCCAAUCAAUUAUGACUUUUGUGCAUCAACACUUCAGAUUCUGAGACAUAGAUAUUCUGAAAACUUCAAUAUAGUCAAAUAUGUCGUUUUAUGCAAUAUGUCAUUUUAUGCUAUUAACACGGAUGUUGUGAAUUUGUCCGCAGAUUCAUUCUUUUUGUUUUUAGCGACUUUGAAUUUGUAUUGCAUCGAUGUACUCUUACCAAUUUGAAUGAAUGAAUAUCUUUUAUUUAGUAAAAAAAAAAAAAAUCAAAGCUUUUAUGUGAUGUUUAAGUGAUCAAUUGAGCGACAUUUAACAUUACUUUUAAUUUUAUAAAUGGCUUCUUGUGAUUUCAAAGAGCUAAAAAUUAUUUAAGUCAAAAAAGCAUGAAAUUUGUACUUAUAAAGUGAUAAAAAAAAAUUUGUUUAUUACAAGCAAAAGAGAAAAAAAAAUAUGGCUCAAACUCUCAUGUUUUCUUAUGCAUUGAUCGUCUUUCUUUCCCUAUUUCUUGUUGUAAUCGGUAUAAGUAUGUCAUUUUUAUACCAUUUUAAAAAACAAAUCAAUUUAUUCUAUAGAUAAAUAUUUUAUCACAUUUUAGAAACAUUUCUUUUUUAUUAUAUGACAAUGCAGGUGAAACUAAUCCUUUUGGUCUUAGUGGAGCUCCUCUCAAGACUAAACAUGAAUGCGAAAAGGACGAGGAUUGUCCAAUAAUGUUAUAUUAUCUUUAUGCUUGGUGUGUUCAGAAAUUAUGUGAGUACCAUUGAUUAAGUUUAAAAAUAAUAAUUUUGUCAAAAAAUAAAGUUAAUUUAAAAAUAAUAAUAUUACAUCCUCUACCAAAAAAAGAAAAUAUAUAAUAUUACAUCGCAUCGUGUAAUUUAUUUUUAUUUCAUAAUAACGUUUGUAUACUUUUAAAAGAUUCUAUUUGUAUGGCCUUUCAAUUAUAUAUACACAAGAUGGUUCAAAAAAAAAAAAAUUAUAUAUACACAAGUAUAUUUCUUACCUUCUUUAGCUCAUCCAAGAUAUCACAAGCAACAAUAUCACUGCAAAAUUAGCAGUCGCCUCCUUUCAUCUUCAAAAAAAAGGUGCUUUACGGUCAAUUUUUGAAAAUAAGUGAUAUUCACAUAUAUUUAGUUUUUUCCUUUGUGAUUUUGUCGUCUUAGUGCGACGUUUUGUUCGUCGUCUUAGUGCGGUCAGCGUUGUUUUGUUUUUCCGUCUUGGUACGGUGUUUGUUCGGUUCAGUUUCAUAGAUUAUAUUCAAUCCAGUGCAUAUUCAAUCAAUUAUUUAGGCAUCGUCAAUGUUGUAGACUCGGAAGCAUCGAUAUUCAGACACUACAAAAAAUUCGCUCUUAGCCAUGGUCAAAACCGUAGCUAAAACAACUUUAACCGUGGCUUUUUGCCACGUAAAUAAUUAGGGUGGCUUAUCCCGACGUUGCUAAAUUUAGUCACGGUUAUAUUACCCUUUGCCACAACUAUUUAAAACGUGGUAACAUUUUUUAGCCACUGUUUAACUGUAGCUAAAAUUAUUGUGGGGCUUUACAAAAUACACACACUACAAUAUUUUCAUUCUACAGCAACGCCAAAAAACUGUUGCAUAAGCGGACCUUACUAUAGUCUGGUAACUCCCCAAUCAAUCUCUUGUGUCUCUUGUCUUUAUCACUUUAUUCGUUAUUGUUCAUUAGUUAAAAAUCAAUUGAAUAUUUGGUUUGUGAAAGUUCCUUUGUAACUUGCACAUCAAGUGUUUGAUAAAAACACUUGGAGUGUGAUUUUGGAAUUGUUUUCAAAUCAAACGUUGUUGAUUACACACCAAGUGUUUCACUUAGUUUGAAUCUUCUUUGAUUUUAAACACCGGACGUUCUAUAAAUUCUCUAAACUAGUUUUUUCUCUUUUACACUUUGUUGAAAACUAGUUUAUUGUCGCUUAUAUAAUUCAUUAAUUCAUUGAUCUAUCAAUUGAUUACUUUUGAGACACUUUGUUGAAAACUAGUUUAUCGUCGCUUAUAUAACUCAUUAAUUCAUUGAUCUAUCAUUUGAUAAAUUUUAUCUCAAAAUUAAUCAAUUGAACGCUUUAGCUUAGCCUUUU
rnacentral:lncRNA from 1 species